GUACACACCGCCCGUCCACACCAUGGGAGCCGGGAAUGCCCGAAGUCGGUGACCCAACCGUAAGGAGGGAGCCGCCGAAGGCAGGCCUGGUAACUGGGGUGAAGUCGUAACAAGGUACC
rnacentral:rRNA from 1 species